ACAAGGGCUGCCAGAGGUGAAAACUAAAGAGUAGGAUAAAAGUCAAUCAAGAUUCUUCAAAUCUGCAAAACAAAAGAAAAUUCUGAAUUUGGAGUUUUACCUAUUAUGAAGUAUAAUGAAGUCAAUAUAGUCUGUAUUCAGGCACAAACUUCAAAACAUUAAUUGUCCCUUCCAGAUGUACUCUUCUCUCAUCUGACAAAGACUGAUGGCUCUUUGUGCUGAUGGCCAAAUCACAACUGAGGGUUAAAGCGAGGACUACUUUGGAUCAGUUUGUUCAAGAAGAGACAUAGUAGAAGAAAAAACACCAGCUAAUAAAACAUAAGUGUGGACUAGUAGGAAAAGGGGAAAGUUCCCUGAAAUUGUGUUCACUCCUGGAAAAUGGAAUCCUAUCAUUGUGAAUUUGUCACGUUUUAUU